rnacentral:rRNA from 1 species
GACGUAGGGUGCAAGCGUUGUCCGGAUUUAUUGGGCGUAAAGAGCUCGUAGGCGGCUCGUCGCGUCGACCGUGAAAACUCCAGGCUUAACCUGGGGCCUGCGGUCGAUACGGGCGGGCUAGAGUUCGGUAGGGGAGACUGGAAUUCCUGGUGUAGCGGUGAAAUGCGCAGAUAUCAGGAGGAACACCGGUGGCGAAGGCGGGUCUCUGGGCCGAUACUGACGCUGAGGAGCGAAAGCGUGGGGAGCGAACAGG